ensembl:lncRNA
GCUAGAGUGCCAGUUGGAGUGGUUGGAAAUAAAUAUAUCUGAGUGUGUUUCAGCAAUGUCAUCUCAACUCCUACUCUGAAAAAUGUCAGAUGCUUCCCACCUCACUGUCGCUGGUGAGCACAUUGCAGUGUCAAGGAGAAGGCUUGGUUUUGCCCUCUGAGAGAGAAGCAGAGAUGGUAAUGCCCACCCUGCAGGGCUGUGGGCAUAGAGGCGCUGGAGAGAGACCAGCAUCCUGCAGAGUGCCUGGCCCUGCACAGGCCUACAGAGAAGACGGGGUAGGCAGCAGAUCUGAGCAAUGACCCUGCUCUUUGGAGCUUCGAUGGACGUGGGCGUGAAACUGUUGCUUACCACGGAAAAAGACCUUGUGGAGAAUGAGUUCAAGGACAUGCUUCUGGAGAUGGUUUACGAAGAGCCAGUUCAGAAAGUGAAGAUCGAAGAUCGAAGAUCACGUGGACUGAGCUGGGCAGAGCUCUGUGUGCGAGGUGUGAAAGAUGGAUGCCAGUCACUUAAUUUACCUCAGAUGGUGCAAUCCAGCUUGUACCAGCAGAUGACCUCCACUUGGAAGAUACAGGACUUUUUAGAAAAUAAUACCGACUGGAAGAAAACAGAGAAGAACAGAUGGAGUCUGGGGACCAAAAUCAUCCCACUCUCCCAUAAGCGUGUGAAAAUGAGUGGCUGUGAUCCCAUCCAUCACUUGACCAGCGUUUAUGUAGAUCACCUCCUCUAUGCCACAUGUUCGGGCUGGGAAUAAGAGCUAUUUUUGUUAAAAGAUACCUGUUGUGGGAUUAGCCCUUUAAAGGUUUCAGGGGACCUCGAUGAUGGUCACUGCUAGAUUCUAAACACGUAAAUCACAAGUAGUUACAGGUACAGGACAUGACAGAGAAGGAGGCAAAAGUACUGAAGGAGAGCAGGGCAGCGGACAACCGGCAGGCUGCGGCUGGGUGAGACCACCGAGGCCGCUGGCCGAGCUCAGGGAGGCAGAGCACCAGUGUGCAUUAGCGAUGUUGCUGGGGAGGCCGGAAGGAAGAGCGGCUGCAAGAGUACCGCGUGUUGGCCCUCCUUGCUCAAGGAACGCAGAAGGCUGCCGGCAGAAGACAGGGCUCUGAAGAGUAGCCGGAAAGAGGAAGUAAGACGCUGGACCCAUAGUUAUUUUAUCUGAGCAACAGCUUCUAUGCCAGAGUGAUAUAACAAAGCAAGGCCUUCUAGCAGGAACCGGUUACUCCGCAGGUCUUCACUGGCCCCUAUCUGGCUGGCAAGGAGAGCGGCUGUAAAACCAGAGGAAUAUUUAUGGGGCUGAAAGACAAGAAUCCUCUCACCUCUGGAAGGAGAAACGGUGGCUCAAGCUAGCUCUAGGAAGACUCCUGGGCCAGGAGAUGAGCUAGGAAUGGGAGAAAUGUACCUGCCUGGGGCUGUUUACCAUUUUCCAACCUCAGUCUUGCAAAAUGGGUGACAAGCCUCUCACUCCUCGCCCUCCUUCCCUGAAUCACGCUCUGCAGCAAGAGCACACGGACCUUUGAUGCCGACAUCGCCGCCCUCCCAGGCACAUGCCACCUGAGGGUCUGGCCACAGGCAGGUCUGGGGGUGCUGGACAUCCAACUCAGCUGACCCUCUCCGGCAGCACGGGGCUUCGAUUGGGAGGGACUUCAGCCCAUUUUCGAACAAACACUCCCUUAGCACUGCCGUGCCAGGCAAUGUUGGUUUUAAGCACUUUACAACAUUAACUCAUUUCAAGGGCACAUUUAUCUCCAUGAGUACGGAGAAAUGUAUGGGGUUUUGAACCAUUAUAUUAUUCACGUGAAACUAAUAUAACACUAUGUUAAUUAUACUUGAAUAAAAAAAACAUAUAAAACAUCCCUCUCUGCGAUAGGUAAUUCUAUGCUUCCCAUUUGACAAGUGAGACAACGGAGGCACAGUCAGGUUGAACAGCUCGCCUAAAGUCACACAGCUGGGCGCUAGCUUCUCGAGUGGGUGCUCUGUCUCAGAGAUCCUAGCGGCCCGCAAGGCAGCACAGCCCCACCUAGCCUUCCAGGAGGAAGCAGCAAGUUCCCAGGCACGUGUCCAUAGACGUUAGCUCAGCACUGUCUCUGAAAUUCCUGCAUUCCUGCAUUAGAAGUGUCCUCCCAUCUUUCUCUUUGACUAGGACCAAAUUUCCCUUUUGCUCCUCCUCCCUUACUUCCCCUUAAAAUGAGAUUUUUGUUGGUGAUAAUUAUUUGGGGUGGAGGAUCCUCUGGAGCAGAAAAUUGUCACCCGAACAGCAAGUGGUUUGCCCUGCAUUUCAGGAGGGCAAAGAAGUGAGUGCUGCUUUGUCUUAGAAGACACUUUGGAUGUGGCUCUCAGGGGUGCUGACAGAUGAGUCCAAGAAGCUUGCUUGAUGCCACACUGUUUCUUUUUUCCCUGAAAGUAUUCAGUUAAGCUCUGCUUGGCAAGGAGAAUCUGCCCUUUCCCUUACCCCUGGGGCAAUCCACAGGACAGUAUCAUCGUCAGCAAUGUGUCUCAUGGUCUGAGCUAUUCCUCUGGGAGAGCCCAGGCACACUGGGGUGGGGGGAUGGAGUUGGGGAAUGUGUGCUUCAGCAGAGGGUCCUCCAUGGGAAGACCCCUCAGAGGCCUCUCCACUACCUCUCCCUGCAGUAUUCUGGGUUUCUGUGGGUAUCUCCAGAGAGAAUAUGUACACACAGCACCAGCCACACACGCACACAUACUGACAUGCUCAGUAACUUUGAGAGCAUAGUCUAGGAAAGAGAAAAACAGCACCUGGAAACACUCCUCCCCUCCCAGCCCACCUUGGAGAGAGCAUUCUAAGGGGAAGUCACAGAGGUCCACUCCUUUUGUAAACCAUCUACUUCAAACCUCUACCUCAAAUGGGCCUACCAGCCCAGCAAUGGUACUCCCUACCCCAAUCAACCACAUUUGGCUACAGAAAAACUGAGAAGAAAUAGAAAAUUUAAAACUGAGGUUUGUUUUUAAAUCCUGGGUCAGAUUAAAUUCUCAGGACCAGCACCUUUCUUGCUGAAUCUAUACACAAGGAAGGCAUUUGGUACGCGAUUUAUCAGAUCCUGUUUAGAGCAAACCCAGAAAGGGCAGAGAAAGGGGAGGAGAAUUUAUUCUUCUAAAUCAGCCUGUUUGUCUCUUAUUCCUAAGUGGUGAGAUUACAGGAGGCAGGAGCUAUGCUUGUGUCACCCAGGGCUGAAUUCCCAGUUCCUGCUGCCCAGUAGGCACUUGAUCAACGUUUACUGAAAAGACAAUGGCAUGACUUUCAUGUGAAUAACCAAGGAAGCCCACAUUUCCCAGCACAACAGCCUGAUCCAUUCUCUUCUUUCCUGAAUUCCCCUUUCAAGAAGCAGCUUAGAAACGACCUGGGCAUCCUCUUGGGACUGACACCUCUCAGUCUAUGCACAUGGAUUUCCACCUGGGCCCAAAGAGAACCUCAAAGCAAGGAAGACAUCAUUGCAACAAAUCACCAGUCCUGGGAAAGACAUAUUCACAAACUGCAGCCACCAAACUGAUUCCUUAAAGAAAGAAAUGAACCAGGAGAGAUGAUGGACUCUGAAAAACAAACUGAGGUUUCUGGAGGGGAGGAGGGUGGGGGGAUGGGUUAGCCUGGUGAUGGGUAUUGAGGAGGGCACAUUCUGCAUGGAGCACUGGGUGUUAUGAACAAACAAUGAAUCAUGGAAUACUACACCAAAACAAAUUAUGUAAUAUAUGGUGAUUAACAUAACAAUAAAAAAAUUAAAAAAAAAAAAGAAAGAAAUAUUCAGAGUGGAGAGGCCAGGCCCAAGUCACAAGCAGGAGACGUAAAGCAGUUCUUCCAUCCUGGGACACAGAAUUCAAACUGAGGUGUGGAGCCUGAGCAAAAUCCAGAGGUGUGCAAGUUCAACUGAACGUGCCCCAAUUUAAUCUUAUUAUGUCAGACACAUUCAAAACAUAACACAUCCACUCCCUUCUCGAAGCUCUUCCCUGAUUCUCAGAACUCCCCAUUUCUGGGGCACCUCAUGUGUUCAGUUCAGUGCCUUGCAGAAGUGAGGGAACAUUCUUGACUCCUCACCAAAUCCACUGAGUUUACCUAAUUCAGUGUUUCUGGCACCUGCCCUUUCUUCUGCCCCUGCUAAGUGUUUCUGGAUUCUGUCCCUCUUCUGUCCUUCCUUGAGUAUUCAUGCCCUAGUUAAAGACAGUUUCUCUUGUCCGGGUUAUAGCACCACCUGUCCCCGAGGCCUGACCCUCCCAGCGCACCCCUCUCUAGACAGAAUGAUCUGAGACACACACACCUUCUUCGGUCCCUUAAGUAGAACCCAGUCACCCAGAGACUCAGAUUCAGUGAGCGUACCCUACAACAACGUGCCCUCCAGCUCUGUCUCUCCUCCUCAUACUGGACGCUCCAAUAAUGCUGGACGGUUUGUAGUGACCAUGUGUGCUCGGCUGGUGAUGCUCCCAUGACUUGCUGUCUCUCUGCCAAACUUCUCACCUUCUUCUUUUAAAUAGUUUUGUGGCUUUAACUUUUUUUUUAUUUACUGAAGUAUUAAAUGGACAGAGCUUAAAAAAAAUCAAAUAGCAAACUUCUGUUUCUGGUAAAAUGUUACACUUUGUAUACCCAAAAUCUGGAUGACACAAAACAACUAGAAACACCGAGUGAAAACUUUCUUUUUCUUUCUUUCUUUUUUUUUUUUUGCCAUAAGUGAAAAUUAGUUCUUGACUGCAAAAAAUUACACUUUGUAUCCCCAAAACCUGGAUGACGCAGACACUGAGUGAAAACUUCCUUUUUCUUUUUUCUUUCCUUUUUUUUUUUGCCAUAAGGGAAAAUUAGUUCUUGACUGUAAAAAAUUUAGAAACGUUUAAACACAAAGAAUAUCCUGAAAUGAAAUAACGUGAGAAAGAGAUCACUAAACAAGAAACAAAUGGUUGCAAAAAUGUCAACUCCCCUAAAGUGAUCAGUGAAGUUAGGGCUAACCUCAUAAAACUUUACUGAGUUUAACUUGGGAAAUUGUUUUGUUUAGGUUUUUUUGGUGUAUAUGUGUGUUAUUUUAAAAACUAAUAAAAAUUUAUUGAGGUAAAUAUUACAUUACUUUGACAGAUUUCUAAUAGCAGCUCCUCACAUAUGGAAGCGGUCUUCACUGUUUUAAGUCUCCACGCAGUCAUGUCAAACUUCCAGGGUGGUUUGAGCAAUAGUGGAUCUCUUUUUUCAAUCAAAAUAUAACACUUCUACUGUCUAAUUCUGUAGAGUCCACUGAUGUGGAAAUACUAUGUAAGAAGUAUAUCAAUAUUCUCACAAAUAUAUUAUGAAUGUAUCCAGUAUUCUAGAACACCAUCUUAGGAAUUAAAAUUCUAUCUCACUUCAACAAGAGCAAAUGCGGUAUAAAGUUAAGUAACAGCAGUCAAACUAAAAAGAGGUAAGUCAAAGUCACUUACAGAGAGAAAAGGCAGGAAAAGGUUCUGCUGAACCCCACCUGUGUGUGAGCCUGGAUCACUGUGCCCUCACGGCUUACGUCCCUCCUGAGCACAGGUGAUGCCCUGACCCUCUUCGCCUCUGCCCUCUCUUGUUGACCAGCAGGGGCUAAAGGACCACUUGGAAGAAGCUGGCAUAGGGUAUAGGGGAGGUCCCAUGAGAUGGGCCAGGAGGAAAUGGCAUGCCAUGUACUUCAUCCCAGUGGCUACACAGGUGACCCCAUUGUAAGGAGACCCCC